rnacentral:rRNA from 1 species
UACAGAGGUCUCAAGCGUUGUUCGGAUUCAUUGGGCGUAAAGGGUGCGUAGGCGGCGCGGUAAGUCGGGGUGUGAAAUCUCGGAGCUUAACUCCGAAACUGCAUUCGAUACUGCCGUGCUUGAGGACUGGAGAGGAGACUGGAAUUUACGGUGUAGCGGUGAAAUGCGUAGAGAUGUGGAGGAACACCGAUGGCGAAGGCAGCCUUCUGGGCCAACACUGACGCUCAUGCACGAAAGCGUGGGGGAGCAAACAGG